AUCAGAGUCUUCUUCGAUUGUUGUAUCAAUACUCUUGUGAGAUGUUUUUUUCUCCUUUGCCAGAGACUUUGGGAACCUCAGAGUGUUUCUUGAAUUGAUGGAGGACUCCACUUUUUCCCCUUUUUUUCUGGUGGCUUAUGUGGAUUAAGUGGAGUUUGGUGAACCUCGCUGUGAAGCUGUGAUGUAUUGAUACUGUUCUGCACAUCUUGAAAAGGUCUUCUCUGUGUCCUUGCUGUUUUUUUUGCUGAUCUUACACUCGUAUUAAAAGUAACUGUAGACUCAAAUCAUAAACCAGUAUGGUUGUAUAUUAGUUAGCAUCAUAUGUAGAUGCUAUAUUGUUGGAAUAUAAAUGUUUACAUACCUUGUGUUUCCUU